rnacentral:rRNA from 1 species
UUACGAGGUCAGGACACUGUGAGGAUUGACAGAUUGAAAGCUCUUUCUUGAUUCAGUGGGUGGUGGUGCAUGGCCGUUCUUAGUUGGUGGAGUGAUUUGUCUGGUUAAUUCCGUUAACGAACGAGACCUUAACCUGCUAAAUAGUCACGCGAACCGGUCCGCAAGGGCUUAAAGUUCGCGGCUCGACUUCUUAGAGGGACUAUUCGCACCCGCCAGCGAAUGGAAGUUUGAGGCAAUAACAGGUCUGUGAUGCCCUUAGAUGUUCUCGGCCGCACGCGCGUUACACUGACGGAGUCAACGAGCGUUUUUCCUUGCCCGGCAGGGCUGGGUAACCUCCUGAAACUCCGUCGUGAUGGGGAUAGAUCAUUGCAAUUAUUGAUCUUGAACGAGGAAUUCCUAGUAAGCGCGAGUCAUCAACUCGCGCUGAUUACGUCCCUGCCCUUUGUACACACCGCCCGUCGCUCCUACCGAUUGAACGGUCCGGCGAGAACUCCGGAUGGUC